rnacentral:rRNA from 1 species
GAUGAACGCUGGCGGCGUGCUUAACACAUGCAAGUCGAACGAUGAAGCCGGAGCUUGCUCUGGUGAAUUAGUGGCGAACGGGUGAGUAACACGUGAGUAACCUGCCCUUGACUCUGGGAUAACUGCUAGAAAUGGUAGCUAAUACCGGAUACGACCCUCGGCGGCAUCGCCAGGGGGUGGAAAGAAUUUCGGUCAAGGAUGGACUCGCGGCCUAUCAGCUAGUUGGUGAGGUAACGGCUCACCAAGGCGACGACGGGUAGCCGGCCUGAGAGGGUGACCGGCCACGCUGGGACUGAGACACGGCCCAGACGCAUACGGGAGGCAGCAGUGGGGAAUAUUGCACAAUGGGCGCAAGCCUGAUGCAGCAACGCCGCGUGAGGGAUGACGGCCUUCGGGUUGUAAACCUCUUUUAGUAGGGAAGAAGCGAAAGUGACGGUACCUGCAGAAAAAGCACCGGCUAACUACGUGCCAGCCGCCGCGGUAA